rnacentral:lncRNA from 1 species
UGGGGGUGGGGGACCGGCGGAUGAAAAGGGAACUUGGAUCGGAGCUCUGGCUGCCAAGGAUCACUGGCACCUAGCAACAGGAGAGGCAGAACCAUGAGCGGCCAGGCUAGGUGGAACAAAGGACCAAAGUGUCAGGGCAGCCCUCCAGCAAACCCUCCACCCACCAGGGAACCGGCUUACUAGCAAAGGUUCCAGGUGUGAUGCGGUCACCCAGAGUCACAGUCACCCAGAGGCCCAGUGGGAAGCUUCCCUGGGUGCUAGGCUCUGCAACACUCACUGCAUCUACAUCCUACUCAGGAACGUCACCCUCACUGUGACCCCCCCCCCAGGCAGGAAUGAAACAGGCUCCGAGAGGUAAGUGAUCUCCAGAGGUCACACAGCUGAGGCUGAGGUUCACCUCCAAGUCUGUCGCAGCCCUAAACAAAAUCUGUCCCCAUAACCAAUAGCUGUGCCCAAUAGCACUAAAAUAAAUGCCAUUUCCCUUCCCCUAGAGAAGGACCAGGAUUGCCAUGAACUCCUUUUUGGUGCAAAAUUCAAAGAAGUGCCAGAAAACAGAUACAUAAUGUUCAGAUGUAAAUCGAAAUCCAUGCAUUAUACCCUGGAUGAGGAAACUAUCAAAAUUGUAAAUCAAGGACCUAGCCCUGUAUCUGGAGAACCCAGGGGUGAGUCCUCCUUCAACUCACCCCACCCCAGAUGGGCCCUGCCCUAGAAGGCACCUCUCCUAAGCUGCUUGGUGCACUCUGGCCUGGCCCCUUCACAGCCGCAAAACAUCUUCAUUCCAACAGACGCAGCAGCACCUGACCCAGCCUCCCGCCAGAAUACAGCAAAUCCUGAGGCAGGCUCACACUGCUCCACCCCAUUGCCACUGCACUUGAGGGAAUCAGGGCUUUGGCCUCCCCGUUUCCCCCUCCAUGCUACUCUCUUCCUCCAGUUCGCUAAUAGCUUCUCACCAGUUUGCUCAUAGCUGCUUCUCAAAAAGUCAAGCGAUGAAGAUUUCAGGUUUGUCUCUCAGGGUUCCUGGCCCCACCUUGUGCCCAGGGAAUCUCAAGGCAGCAGCCUGGAUCACAUCCAUUAAACAGAAUCUUUGGGGGUGAACCCAGGUAGCAGUGUCCUUGAAGGCUCUCCUGGUGAUUCCCAAGAGCAGCCAAGGUGGAAAGCCAGAGAUGGAAGAAAUUACAAUAGCCCCCUUUAUCCUGGGGGAACAUGUUCUAAGACCCCCCCCAUUGGAGGCCUGAAACCAUAGAGAGCACCAAACACUAUGUAAAUGA